CAGACCCUGCCUACUUCCCUUUGCUCAGCCAAGCCCCAACCCAGCUCCAUGCUCUUGCUCCCCCUUCCCCCUGUCUCCCCUGCUCAAAAACCCUCCAUGGUUCCCCAGUACCAGACUCGGGAGUUGUUGCCUGUCACCACCCUGCAGGGGAUUCUAAAGCCCCUCCUGGGGCUUUUCCCAACACUCUGGGUGGGGUCUUUCUCUUCCUUAGCUGCACUCCAGAAUUCCCAUCUGCCUUCCUUCAGCAGCAUGGCGUGUUUUUUAAAUUUUUUGCAGCAAGAUCAGAGCGGCACACCCAUCCGCACUGUCCAUCCUGAAGAAGCCCCCCAGGCUAGAGAGAGUCUGAAACCCUGACUCACUCCUUCCUGAUGAUGCACACGAUCCAUCACACAUGGGGCCUGCACGAGGCAGCGGCACAGUCGGCUGCACGCCGCCAGCAUAUGACAUCACACCUGGUCCCGUCUCACUAGGCCACAUGACACAUAAAAUUCCUGUUCAUGUUUAGUGAGAAUCUCUCUCACCCCUCUCACCAGGCGUUUGGGGCUGCAAUACACACAAUGGCUAAGAGGAGGGGAAAAAAAUAAAUGGUCAACAGUCGUGGAGAGAUGCCCUGCCUCACCAGAGAUCACAGGAGGAUCUAGACUAAAACAAACAGGAGACGACACACCACACACCCCAACUGGAGGAGCCAGAGGCCAUCAGAAACUUCUACUACAGACACUAGCACGUGAACCCAAAUCUUGCUAGCACUAGCAAGAUUUAUUUCAGAAAGUGCCAGGAAUCUCAACUGUCUUCAAUAAAGAAGACAAAGUGACUCAUGUUGCUGGGAGUUGAGAUGCAGUUCAGCUUCAGAUGGCGACACUCGUGCUUGAAGCCUCAGCCAGACACAGAGCAGAUCGCCUAGCAUGUUGACAGGCAGGGUGUGGGAGAAACCUCGGGACUUUGGAGCUGUGCUCAGUGUAGCAUGAAAGCCCAUCCUGACUGAUGUCAUUGUGGGUUGGCCACAUGUGUCCCCAAAGGACAAAUACAUAGGCACAGGAUCUCUUGAAAGAGACAUGAGAAACCCCAGCAGGGGAACCUGGCAGGCUGGCCUACUUUUCCCCCUAAACCCUCUUGUGUAGUGUCUUAUUUUCUAGAAAACCAUAUGUAUUAACAAGUCAAAUGACAAUUAUAUUUUUAAAGAGUUUAUU